CAAGGAGCCGCCGGGGGCGUGCGAGGGGUUGGGAGUGGGUUAGGAGCUGGGGGAGUGAGAUAGGAGAUGGGAGUGCUAGGGGUGAGUGUGCGAGGAGGUGAGUGAGUGUGGGAGGUGUUGAAUGAGUGUGCAAGGAGCUGCCGUGGGUGUGCAAGGAGCCGCCGGGGGCGUGCGAGGGGUUGGGAGUGGGUUAGGAGCUGGGGGAGUGAGAUAGGAGCUGGGUGAGUGUGCGAGGAGAUGAGUGAGUGUGCAAGGAGCUGGGUGUGCUAGGAGUUGGGGGUGUGUGCUAGGAGCUGCGUGAGUGUGCAAGGGUUGGGUGUGCUGGCAGCUGAGUGUGUGAGGAGAUGAGUGAGUGUGCAAGGAGCUGGGUGUGCUAGGUGCUGGGUGUGCAAGGAGCUAGGUGAGCGUGUGGGGAGCUGGGUGUGCCAGGAGGUGAGUGAGUGUGCGAGAAGCUGGGUGAGUGAGAUAGGAGCUGGGGGAGUGGGCUAGGAGUGAGUGUGCAAGGGGCUGGGUGUGCUAGGAGUGAGUGAGCGAGGAGCUGGGUGACUGAGAUAGGAGCUGGGUGUGCGAAGACAGGAGUGAGUGUGCAAGUAGUGAGUGUGUGAGGAACUGGGUGUGCAAGGACGGGAGUGAGUGUGUCAGGAGCUGAGUGAG
rnacentral:lncRNA from 1 species